GUGAAUGUUCAUGAGGUAGUCAACACUGCAAAAGUUCAGACGUUAUGCUGAUUUUGAGUGCAAUAACAGCACUUCUGACUGUAAGUUGUUGAACGUAGGAUGCGCAUUCUCAAACAAAGUCAAUAACUCUGGAAUUAAGAAAUCAAGUUUGUUAUGAAUGUCCUUAUCUCUUUAUGUUGCAGAAAACAGAGGUAAUGCCAAAAAAGAGAGACCGAGAGUAUGGCUCUGAAUUUUUCUGCAUCAUUUGCGGCUUGCAUAGCUGCUGGUUUAAAAGUUCCGCGCCAGUUCAUGUAUUGCAUUGCCCAAGACACAGGUGCACCAUACGUUCUUUACAACAAAGACGGUGUGGAAAAAGGCAUGCCAACAAGCACUCAGUCAAAUGGACAAUGGGGACCUGGGUUGCCUCAAGAAAACGGAUAUGUAGCUAUCACGACACAACAACAUCAACAACAACAACAACACCAACAGCAGCAGCACCAACAGCAGUCACAUCAAAAUGCAUCCAGCAGUCAAACUGGUUCAUCAGACCAAUCAAACGGUAACAGGAGUUUAGAUUCUGCACGCAAGGUCGAAUCUUCGGCUAAUAUUGUACCGUCAUCAAGUGCAGAACAACAGCAGCAGUCCACUAUGACCUCACGAGAACCCUCACCAUAUCCUCAGCAAACUAGCUUGGGUGUGUAAAAAUUUCAAAUUAAUUAUACCUACUGUUAAUUACAGAUAGUUGUUUUUUGACUGGAGCAUACAUUUUAUCAUCAGAAUAGGAAUAUUAACACUAAGAAAACUUAUCACAUGAGUGCAGCGCGGCUAAAGCCUCUGCUGGUAUUCUAUUAUUUUAAAGAAAACCUUACCCAUUUUUUUUAUGUCUUAAGGAUUUAUUCUUGUUCGAAAGUAGGGUGAAAAUGAGGACUUUAAAAUAGCUGUUGUUAGAUGGUGCAUACUAUAAAUAAUCAAAUGUAUGGUUCGACCUGGCAACAUUGCAUUUUAAAGCAUUGCCAUAUGGUGCAGAAAAAUGAAAAAUUAAUUUUUGUUUUGAACUGGCAAUGUCGCAAAUCGACCAAUGGAACUUGGUCUGACCGUGUUGCCAGAAGGUGUAAAAAAUUAAGUAAAUAUUUUAUUUAUAGGGUCGAUCUAGCAACAUCCUCAAUUGAUAAUCGUCAUAUAAUGUUGCCUGAUGGUGUAGAUAACUGAACAUUUAAAUUACUGGCACGGGUUGGCAACACCGCGAAUUGAUUCGUCGAAACGUAACGUGAACCUAUCCUAAGUGUGGUGGGGUCGGGUAAACCAACCUGUCUGAAUUCUGGCGGGUUCGAGCCCGAGCGUUGCCUCUGACACUCACUGUUGGUUGAGAAUGUAAAAAAUAAAUAAUUUAAAUAUUGGUGCGACUUGGCAACAUGGUACUCGACCAAUUGAAAUGUGACGUAACCUAACCAUGGACCAAGAGAACAAAUAAGGACCUCCAACUCCAGUUAGCAGCUACACCAGCGGUGCCUGCCAGAGGGUCUAGUGAACUAAACCGACGAUGGGGUUCUCCUGUUUAUGUUUCCAUGUACCACCUAUUUAGGCUUAUCUCUCAAUGCUCAUGAAAGUUUCUAGAUCCUCGUGGUCGUUCUGAAGUUCUGAAGAGUCUAGUGGGAAAAGUUUCCCUUUUUUAUUUCAAUCUUUGUAAGUCUUCGGGUACAUAAACUGGUGAUAAUGUGAAGUGUCUUUUCUACCUUUUUAUUCAGCAGCAACUGCUGUUGAGAAAGCAAAAGGAAGUGUGUAUGUAGUAUGUAGCAGGUUUGUACUUAUAGCCGAAGGCGUUUCCUGUCAAAGUGAAAUCUUUUCAGCGUGUACUAUUAAAGAUCAACUGAGUGUCACAAAAUCAAAGAUACUUGACUUCAAGCAUUACCUUCAAUUUGAUUAAUAGCAAGUCUCUUUGAUUCUGCGUCAGAAGUUGACUGAAUCAUGUGCGGGUCGAGUUAAAUUUUUUUUUUUUCAAAAUCCUUCGGGCUACUGCGUUUUCCUUUUUUUAUGUAACAGAACCAUUGAAGACUGUGCAACAUUUGUUUUAGUCGAUUUAAAAAAAUGACUUCCACCCUAUAGGGGAGGGGGGAGUUUAGGGGUUAACUGUGAGUUAAGAAAAGGCGAAGUCCCUCGGAUAUUACCAUGUCAGCCUCGCGCUCAUGGUAUUGACCAGUAGGAGCAUGUAGCUCACUGGCGUCUUUCAGGACUCCAGCCAACACCACGCCAAAGUGGGAGACUUAAACAAUCAUACGUCGGUUUGGCUGUAUAAGAAAAGUUUAAGACUAAUGAAUAGAGAAAAUUUCGAAUGCUUCUAUAGCGAAAAGCAUUUGACCAUCCAAUCUUUUCAAAGUUUAUGAGAGGGAGAGUUCAAUUUUAGGGUUGCCGUCCCCUUUAAAAAUUCCUAUGUGACUAGCUGACACUGUUAUUUCUAAAAUCGCAAGAAUCAGUGAUAGAUUUACAAGCUCAUUAUACUUUCAAGCUUGCAAACAUUGCACUUGAAAGAACUUGGCAUUGCUUCUUAGUCCCUUCUCUUG
rnacentral:lncRNA from 1 species